rnacentral:rRNA from 1 species
CGUAGGGUGCGAGCGUUAAUCGGAAUUACUGGGCGUAAAGCGUGCGCAGGCGGUUUGUUAAGAUAGGCGUGAAAUCCCUGGGCUCAACCUGGGAACUGCGCUUAUGACUGGCAAGCUAGAGUACGGCAGAGGGGGGUGGAAUUCCACGUGUAGCAGUGAAAUGCGUAGAGAUGUGGAGGAACACCAAUGGCGAAGGCAGCCCCCUGGGUCGAUACUGACGCUCAUGCACGAAAGCGUGGGUAGCAAACAGGAUUAGAUACCCUGGUAGUCCACGCCCUAAACGAUGUCAACUAGGUGUUGGGAGGGUAAAACCUUUUAGUACCGGAGCUAACGCGUGAAGUUGACCGCCUGGGGAGUACGGCCGCAAGGUUA